UGAGUGAUGGGGAGCAACCUAGUUGUGCGUGUGUAAAGGUAGUGCCAAGAAAAGCGAUGAUCAUGUUGAAAAUCAAUUCCCGGUACCCGAAACCGACACAGGUGGGCAAGUAGAGAAUACUAAGGGGCGCGAGGUAACUCUCUCCAAGGAACUCGGCAAAAUGACCCCGUAACUUAGGGAGAAGGGGUGCCACCGAGAGGUGGUCGCAGUGAAGAGGCCCAGGCGACUGUUUAGCAAAAACAUAGGUCUCUGCAAACUCGAAAGAGGAGGUAUAGGGGCUGACGCCUGCCCAGUGCCGGAAGGUUAAAGAAGUUGGUCAGUCUUAGGAUGAAGCUAGCGACUGAAGCCCCGGUGAACGGCGGCCGUAACUAUAACGGUCCUAAGGUAGCGAAAUUCCUUGUCGGGUAAGUUCCGACCCGCACGAAAGGCGUGACGAUCUGGGCGCUGUCUCGGAGAGAGGCUCGGCGAAAUAGGAUUGUCUGUGAAGAUACGGACUACCUGCAUUUGGACAGAAAGACCCUAUGAAGCUUUACUAUAGCUUGGAAUUGUGUUCGGGCUUCCUGUGCGCAGGAUAGGUGGGAGGCGUAGAAGGUAUUCUUGUGGGGAUACUGGAGCCAACGGUGAGAUACCACUCUCAGGAGGCUAGAAUUCUAACUUAAUUAAGGACAGUUUCAGGUGGGUAGUUUGACUGGGGCGGUCGCCUCCAAAAAGGUAACGGAGGCGUACAAAGGUUCCCUCAGACUGGUUGGAAAUCAGUCGAAGAGUGCAAAGGCAGAAGGGAGCUUGACUGCGAGAAGUACAGUUCGAGCAGGGUGGAAACACGGUCUUAGUGAUCCGACGGUGCUGUGUGGAAGGGCCGUCGCUCAACGGAUAAAAGUUACUCUAGGAUAACAGGCUGAUCUCCCCCAAGAGUUCACAUCGACGGGGAGGUUUGGCACCGCGAUGUCGGCUCGUCGCAACCCGGGGCGGAAGUACGUCCCAAGGGUUGGGCUGUUCGCCCAUUAAAGCGGUACGUGAGCUGGGUUCAGAACGUCGUGAGACAGUUCGGUCCAUAUCCGAUGUAGGCGUGAGAAUAUUGAGAGGAGCCUUCCUUAGUACGAGAGGACCGGGAUGGACGCACCGCUGGUGUACCUGUUAUGAUGCCAAUUGUAAACGCAGGGUAGCCAAGUGCGGAGAGGAUAACCGCUGAGAGCAUCUAAGUGGGAAGCCCACCUCAAGAUGAGUAUUCUGGUGUAAGGUCACGGGAAGACGACCCGUAAAUAGGCACGAGGUGGAAGUGCAGAGACGUAUGAAGCCGAAGUGUACUAAUAGACCGUCGGCUUGACC
rnacentral:rRNA from 1 species